rfam:Oryza sativa Japonica Group DNA, chromosome 12, cultivar: Nipponbare, complete sequence.
UUUAAGAGCAACCAUAAGUUUCCAUGCUUAAUUUUAAUCGUUCGUCUUAUUUGAUUUGUUUUUUUAUAAUUAGUAUUUUUAUUGUUAUGAGAUUAUAAAACAUGAAUAUUACUUUAUGCGUGACUUAUGUUUUUUUUUUGUUUUUUUUAUUGUUUUUAAAUAAGACAGAUGAUCAAAGUUGGACACAGAAAAUCAUGGUUGCAUUUAAA